AUCAUUACAAAACAUCGUGUAUUUACAAACGACUUUAUUUUUUCAAGACGACGUCCUUUCAAGAUUCGAAUGUUUUUUCUCGUGAUAACCAUAUCACGUAAAACAUCAGAUUUGUCUUGUAAAGCUUCUGCGCGACUUCAUAUUGGACGGGGCAUUAUUGUUGUAGUAAGUAAACCACACGAGUAAACAUUCUUUAUUGAGAGUGAUUUACAAAAGAUGGAGCUUGACGGUUGGACCAUGACAAGUUCCUCCAAAACCAUCGAUUCUUGCGCUUGUCAUGGCGAGACAUAUUUUCCGUUUCUGAUCUUAACAUAUCCCACAUUAUCUGCACAUCCUCGUACCCACAAGUUUGAAUGUCAUCGCGAAGUUUCAGAAGCCCGUCACCUGAUAACAACAGAUGCAUGAACAAAGCACUAGUUUUUUUCUCAAUCAAGAAUCUAAAAGAAAGCAAUGUUCACAAGAAUAUAACAAAAUAAAGUAAGAUUCUAUGCUUAAGAGCAUUCAUUAUUCUACGACACUGUUGAAAUUGCUGCUAAGACAAUGGGGCCAUCCAACAAUAGGUCUAAAUCGAUCAUCUUUGGAUGCUGCUUUCGCCCCAAAAAAAAAAAAAAAAGAUAUGGAUAUAUGUCAUCUCUAGACAUUAUUUUUCAUGGCUGACUCAUCAAGGAAUUAGAUUCCUUCAACAUGAGCAGUAGAACUUUAUGUUAUAGCUUUAUUACAAGUUUUUUGACAUAAUAUACAGAGGUACAUAGAGUAAAUUGUGAGAUACACGUUCUUCAUGGUGUACAUAAAGAGAGCAGAAAUCUACAUGCAUACUAAGUAGGUUAUGACUCCAAAGUAUUUCAGUACCAAUCCAAUAUUCGAAGAAGACGAGUUCUUAAAUUUAACCCUCCACCCCCAACACACACAAACACAUGUAUAACGAAUAAUCCAACUAUAUUGACCAUAAAAUGAAGAGCGUGUUUGGUACACAAUAUUGAAUAAAACUUGACAGUUGACACUAUAUAUUACCAAACAAGUCAAAGAUGCAUAGUAUGUGGAUUUCAAAUUCAAAUUAUUUCACUAUCAAUCCAAUAUUCCAAGUCACACUGCAGAGCUUACCCUCCACCCACCUACCCCACACACAAAAUAACAAAUAAUAGUCCAACAAACAAGGUAUUGAUUAUGGUCCAUUAAAGUAGCACAAAACUCAAAAGUGGGGCAUUAUUUUGGUAGUUAGCAGUUUGAUUUAUUACUAACUUGGGUCUUAACACACUUUAAUGUCAUUGAGUGGAAGUAAUCUAGUGGAUAUAAGCACCCAUUAGUGGAUAUGUUCACUAAAUAGUAUGAAAAGAAUUUAAAAAUAUUCGAAUCCCAUCAUUACUAAAGAUUAGGAAAAAUCAAAAUAUGAAAUUGUGUUCAUAAUAAGAGCAUAUCCUAUCCAAAAGUUCUGAAUACCAAUAAUCAGAUUACGAUGCAAAUGUAGAAAGCCAUAUGCUGAUACACAAUCAAGGCUGUGGAUGUUGCCAUCAUUAGAAUUUUUGCUCUUAUAUACAGAGUGCAAUGCAUAUAAUCCAAUAGGCAUGACGGAAUCUCAUCCAGUAAACAAUCAUCCAAAUCAACUCUCAAUUUAUAAUUACCUACACGCCGUCUAAUAUUUUAGGCGACAUGAUAAAGGGGACCCACUUAAGUUGAUUAAACACUCGAUACAUCUAUCAAAGGCUACCAACCACCUCACGACCAAACAAAAAUGUCAAGCUCGCAACCAAUCAUAGUCGUGGGGUCCACCCAGUGGCUCCUCUAUAUCGUGUUAGAACUCGAUCUCACAUCAAUCUUUGGCCUUGGUCGACUAGUUAUUUGACAGUUCAACACUAUUCUGGUCCCAACCUAUUAUAAACUCUAGCAAGGGAUGAGACACGGUUCAAAGGGAUGUGAAAUCCUGAUACUUAGCUAAAACUCUAUCCAAUCAAUUUCUCUAAUAAAACACCAACUGCCUUAAAAAUCAUAGAGUAUUCGGCUACUGGUCACAUUUUCCCAACAGUCGAGCAUUCUGACGUGUGUUCUUGAGUAGAGAGGGCAGCUUUCGGUUAAGUCGUCAUGGAAGUCAAAACAAGAAAAAGACCCUUUAUUCUGCACUGAUGAAAAGAAUGAGGAAUCUUCUACAUAAAGGUAGCUAAGUAGAGUGGUAGAUUAUAUCAAGUUACUUUUUCUUUGAAAACAAGAAGGCCCCAAUAAAUUGCUUAACUAUGUAUUCCUUCAUAACUUCACAGUAAAGUAUGUCAGAAAUUAUCAAAUUAAUCCUCAUACCGUUAAAGACAACUUAUAUCAAUAAUAUUCUUUCCCUUCUCAAUAUAUUAAUCUUUUAGAUGUGGUUCUGCAACAUAUCACCGUCACCGAUUAAUGAAAAUUGUACGCAUUUCAUGUAAAAAUGAAUCUAGAAUGUGAGGGGCGUAAUGAAGAUAUAAUUUAACUAAAUAUAUUUGUCAGAAAGAAGCCCAAACUUUUCAAAAGAGAUUUCAAUAGUUACAUGAUCAAAAAAUAAUGAAAAACAGAACAUGAAUAUGUUUUGCCACAAGUUAAAGAAAAAAGUUAAAAACUUCAACUUUUUUUUUUUUUUUUUUUAAUUUAAAGAAACUUAUCAUAUUUAAUUUUCUACCUUUGCAUCCCAAUAUUAAUUAUCUCCCCACAUGUCAUGUAUCUACUCCUUAAUAUUCAUCCGCCUCUGUUCAAUUUAGCGUAUAAAGUAUGCCUACGUUGAAUAAAAAUAUUUUUGUUUAUUUAAUUAAAUCUUUGGCACAAAAUUCCACAUACAAGCUGAAUUUAUCUUUUUCAUAUUAUAACACUUGUAUUUAUAAAGCUUAAUCUCCACUCAGCCUCCUGAAAAUUUCGGGCCGGACGGGAGUCGCCCCAUUGCCAUCCCUACAUAAAUAUCCCCAACCCGUUACCAUACACGCAGAUAUAGAGAGAAAUGACUGACCGUUUUUGCGAGUCUUGACGCGUGCAGUAAAAGCACACCAAGCUCUUCUAACAGGGAAAACCAUUUUCUGCCACCACUCCAUCACCUUAAUCUUCACUUUCCUCCGCCGAUUCCCUCCGCCGAGUCGACUCAAUGCCACCCUUA
rnacentral:lncRNA from 1 species